CCAUAUUGACCCCGCCCUCUUUACGUGCAGGAGCCAAUCAGCAGGAGGCAACGAAAGGGGAUGGGAGAUAGGAAUGUGUCGCAAGGAACCGCAGUUGUUGGUUAGGAGACCAAAACUGUAUUUCUUCCCAACCAAUGGUUCAAGCGAUUUUGUUUGCAACAUGCGCCUUAAUUUAGUUCAACAAAGAAACUGACAAGUUACUAAAGACCAAUACUUUAGACAACGAUGCGUCACCUGUAUUAUCUUGGAAUAUAGUAAUGAUCUAUUUUUCACCACUGUUUCAGAUGGAGACGUCCACCGUCUCUUAACCCUCUGCGUGUACUUUCCGAAUUGUUGCAAAUAGCCUUUAUUGAACUGUCCACGUUUUCAUUUCACAGUGGAGCAACUGCAACAUAUAGACAAAGGUCUCCCUGUCGUCUGAACACAGACAAGCGGCAUCAAACAGACCCCAUCAGCAGCGAAGAUCAAAGAGCGGAACACAUGAAGCCACUUUAUAGAAAGAUACAGAAUGCCAGUGGAACUCAAUGGUCAGGCGGCAUCUGUGGAGAGCAUGCAUAGUUGGGGACACGUUUCAGGGGAUCCUUCUUCAGACUCAGGUGCAGCCUGCCAGACAACAAAGGCACCCCCCCCCCCCACCUCCCUUGCCGUCGGCAUAAUGUUGGGAUUGCUGCUGAAUGAGAGUUCUGGUCACCCAGUCCGACUGCAUGGGCCGCUUUUCAAAUCGCGGUUUUCGAGUAACCUUGAUUCUUCAGUGUCAAAAUCAAACCUGGUGGGAAGUAACCAUGGACCGUAAAUAUUAAUCUUGGUGAGGCGCCCUUUGAAUAGACCUUGUACUUUAAAAAAAAUAACUCUGCAUAAAGUUUCAUAACCCGAUUCCACCUCUUUACCUUGAUUAUGUUGACAGGCACUUUAAAAUGUGUUUUCUUUCUCAGUAGGCCGAACUGGUUACAUUUACUCACCAUCGUUUUCCAGAUGUUUCAGCAUUUCUGUUGAUCACCAAGUUAUAAUUAUUGUUGGAAAAUUAAUAUUGAAAGUGCUUAACAUGCAGAAAAGUUUACCAAAGUCUAAUGAUGAAGAAUGGUUUGAUUCGAUCUAAUUCUAGCUUACCAGCUUCUUUCUUCUGCAACGUCUCAGCUUGAAUAACGGAAAGCAGGUCAUUAGGUCAUGUUUCAGAGGUAGGAUUAGGCCAUUCCAUAUAACCAUAUAGCUAUAUAACAAUUACAGCACGGAAACAGGCCAUCUCGGCCCUUCAAGUCCGUGCCGAACACUUAUUCUCACCUAGUCCCAUCUACCCGCACUCAGACCAUAACCCUCCAUUCCUUUCCCGUCCAUAUACCUAUCCAAUUUAUUUUUAAAUUAUAAAAUCGAACCUGCCUCCACCACUUCCACUGGAAGCUCAUUCCACACAGCUACCACUCCCUGAGUAAAUAAAUUCCCCCUCAUAUUACCCCUAAACUUCUGUCCCUUAAUUCUCAAGUCAUGUCCUCUUGUUUGAAUCUUCCCUACUCUCAAUGGGAAAAGCUUGUCCACGUCAACUCUGUCUAUCCCUCUCACCAUUUUAAAGACCUCUAUCAAGUCCCCCCUUAACCUUCUGCGCUCCAAAGAAUAAAGACCUAACUUGUUCAACCUUUCUCUGUAACUUAGUUGCUGAAACCCAGGCAACAUUCUAGUAAAUCUCCUCUGUACCCUCUCUAUUCUGUUGACAUCCUUCCUAUAAUUAGGCGACCAAAAUUGUACACCAUACUCCAGAAUUGGCCUCACCGAUGCCUUGUACAAUUUUAACAUUACAUCCCAACUUCUAUACUCAAUGCUCUGAUUUAUAAAGGCCAGCACACCAAAAGCUUUCUUUACCACCCUAUCUACAUGAGAUUCCACCUUCAGGGAACUAUGCACAGUUAUUUUUAAAUGAUAAAAUCGAACCUGCCUCCACCGCUUCCACUGGAAGCUCAUUCCACACAGCUACCACUCCCUGAGUAAAUAAAUUCCCCCUCAUAUUAGCCCUAAACGUCUGUCCCUUAAUUCGCAAGUCAUGUCCUGUUGUUUGAAUCUUCCCUUCUCUCAAUGGGAAAAGCUUAUCCACGUCAACUCUGUCUAUCCCUCUCACCAUUUUAAAGACCUCUAUCAAGUCCCCCCCUUAACCUUCUGCGCUCCAAAGAAUAAAGACCUAACUUGUUCAACCUUUCUCUGUAACCUAGUUGCUGAAACCCAGGCAACAUUCUGGUAAAUCCCCUCUGUACUCUCUAUUCUGUUGACAUCCUUCCUAUAAUUAGGCGACCAAAAUUGUACACCAUACUCCAGAAUUGGCCUCACCAAUGCCUUGUACAAUUUUAACAUUACAUCCCAACUUCUGUACUCAAUGCUCUGAUUUAUAAAGGCCAGCACACCAAAAGCUUUCUUUACCACCCUAUCUACAUGAGAUUCCAUCUUCAGGGAACUGUGCACAGCUAUUCCUAGAUCCCUCUGUUCACCUGCAUACCUCAAUUCGCUACAAUUUACCAUGUACGUCCUAUUUUGAUUUGUCCUGCCAAGAUGUAGCAUUCGGCCCGUCAUGUCUACUCCGUCAUUCAUUCAUGGCUGAUCUAACUCUCCCUCCCAACCCCAUUCCAACCCCAUAGAAUAGGAUAGAUUUAAACAAAAACAUCGUAAUAAUCUGCCGACACUAACUUGUUUUUCCGUUUUAAUGCCAUAAUAGCCAAAGCAAAGAGUUGUUGCUUUACGCAGAGAAUCCUGGUAGAUAUAGAGGAGCGAGUAGUAUAAAAACAAGGUAGACAAAAAAUGCUGGAGUAACUCAGCAGGACAGGCAGCAUCUCCGGAGAGAGGGAAUGGAUGACGUUUCGGGUCGAGAGCCUGCUUCAGACUGAUCAGACGCAACGUCACCCAUUCCUUUUCUCCAGAGUUGCUGCCUGUCCCGCUGAGUUAAACCAGCAUCUGCAGUUCUUUCCUGAACAGUAUAAAAAACAAGAACGUGUUAGGCGUCUUGGAGGUUUAAUUGACCAGGCAGAAUAAUUUUGGUCACGUGCUCACGGAAAGUACCACAAACUGCUUAGGAGAUAAUUUUCAAACAUUUAGUGUUGUGUUCUUCAGUACAGAUUGCCGCAUGACCUCCGUUGGUACAGUAAUAAAAUAAGUACUGCCAGUUCCAACACCAAUCCUUCUUAUCUGUUAUUUUCCC